AGAUUAAUAAUGAAAAGAACUGAAGCAGUUGUUAGGGAAUAAAAAUGAAAGAAAACAAGCCACUGCAAUCCCCACAAUCUCAGCAUCAUUCCCUUCCUGCUUUCUCUGUUAUUCCAGACCCCGAAAGAACAGUCCUGGGUCUGCACCGUGGUUCCAGCACCCUUCUGCCUUUUGACACUUCCCAGGCACUUCGGGAACAGAAGAUCUGGGCUUUCUCUGAGCUCCCUUGAUGCGCCCAAAGACUGAUCCUCCAAAAGGAACUCAACUGUCAUGAAUCUUCUCCCUGGGAAUCUUAGCAACCAGUGAAGAUUAUCUUGGACCACAGGAGAUAAGAUUGGAGUUUGGUGCCACACCCAGACUCUCACCUGCUCUUCUGAGGGCUGCUCUGAGACAACUUUUACCAUCUGAGAGAUCGCUUAGCUGCACGAAAACACAAGCUUUAUUCAACACGUAUUUCUUCCCUUCACCUUCCCAUGGCUUUUCUCCACCAACCCUUAGAAACCCCAAACCCCUAUUCCUUUCUAUAGCUCAGGAUAUUAUAUAAGCUUCAAUCAUCUGGCCCUUCUUCAAGUCACAUAUGUCUGUGGGACUCUGUGCAUCAUAUGUAAUUGAAUAUAGUUUUUGUCUUGUUAAUCUGUCUUAUGUCAAUUUAAUUAGCAGCCCAGCCAAGGAACAUAGAAGGGUGAAGGGAGCCAUUUUCACUCUCCUACAUCUGGAAAUCACACCCUACCAGAUUUCUCAACCUUGUCUUUUUUAUGGAAGGCUCAGCACUUAGGGACUUUUAGAAAUGGAAGCAAUCCGAAAUGAUUAUUGACGUGAAAGGGUGGUUCAUGAACAGCAGCAUCCACACUGCCUGCAAGCCCAUUGGUAAUGCAGAAUCUCAGCUUCACUGCAGACCUACUGAAUCAGAAUCUGCCUUUCAACCAGAUCUCCAGAUAAUUCAAGAGCAUAAUCAAGAAUGAGAAGUGCUCUUGUCCUUCAGCUCUGACCGAUCCCUUUCACUUCCCCUGAAAGACAGCCAACUCUCCGAAACUUUCCUUCUCAUCAGCUGUCACAGAGCUUUCUGAAGCAAUGCUGAAAGGAAGGAACAAGAAAUGCUGCCACAUUGCACUCCUCGGCCCCUCUGUCCUUCCUUUCCACCAGUUACCAAGCCCCCCAUGUCAGGGACAUCCCUCGGCCUUGGAGAUUCAGCAGUGACAUGAGCAAGGAUGCAGAUUCCAUUCUAAAAAGAAAAGACUGAAAACAGAGGAACCCAUAAGUGAGCAUCUUGACCUGCAGCAUUCUGGCCCACUCAGAUGGAAACCACCUUUGCAAGAAUUAUAACAGUAAGAAAAUUAUGGCAGUAAAAGAGAUAUGAUCUAACCCACCCUCCAUCUUGCCUUUCCCUUAAUUAUUGCUGGGCUUUUGGGCUAGCUAACUUUGGAAGAUAUUUAGGUUAUAGUUUAAAUGAUAAUAGCCCUUCCCCCAAACUUGACUCCCUCUAUAGAGCUAAUGAAAGGCCAUGGGGCUAUGGGGGUGGAGAGGAGCCUAAUUCUGCUAAGGUGCAGACAUAGAUUGCCAGCCAUUCCUGCAGAUAACACCACUAUUGUAGAUUGGCCUUUUGAGGUAGCUUGUCAGAUUUUUUGAAUGUCUGACACCUAUGGCUCCAACCCGACCCACCGAUCCCACUCCUGUGACCCCACCCAGAAGCAAUUCAGCAUGCAGGAGGACAGCUUCUAUCCCCCCAACCCCAUAUGAUUUCAUCUCUGACCCAGCCAAUCAGCAGCAAGCACUCAUUACCUGGCCGCCCUCACCUCUUCUCCCAAACUGCCUUUGAAAAACCCCUAACUAUGGGCCUUCAGGGAGAUUGAUUUGAGUAAUAACUCCGUCUCCCACGUGGUGUAACCGGCCUCCUGUCAAUUAAACUCUUUCUUUACUGCAAUGCCAUGGUCUUUAAUUGUGCAGUGAGCAGGAAGAAACUGUUGGGUGGUUACAAGAUGGAGUGUUAUUGGAAAGGGAAUGAACCAGAGGAAAGUGACACCACCUUUGCAAAAUUAUGACUGAGACAGUGAAAGAGAUCUAAUUUAACUGAAUCCAUCUUGCUUCUAACUGUCCUUGUUCAUUCCUGGGUGUAGGCUGAACUAGCUUUGGGAGAAACUUAGCUUAGUUUGUAGUUUAAACAAAGAUGGUAACAGCCCUUUCCCAAAGCAGACCUCCUUCUUGCCUGGGGACUAGAGUGCCUUUGUAGGACUAACAUUAGCCACAAGAUUAGAAAUUAUGGUUUAGAAGUCAUGCAACUGGAGGCUACAAGAUUCUGACCCUCCCUAAACUGCUCCUAAGAUCAGUGCUUGAGAUAUUUUACAGACCCUGCGCUUGAUGGAUCAGCUGGCCCCACCCAGAUCAAUAAACUGGCUCAUCUGAUCUUGUGGCCUCCACCCAGGAACUGACUCAGCGUUAGAAGACAGCUUCAACUCCCUAUGAUUUCAUCUCUGACCAAUCAGCCCUCCCGGUUCACUGGCUUUUACCCACCCACCAAGUUAUCCUUAAAAACUCUGCUCCCCGAAAGGUUGGAGAGACUUAUUUGAGUAAUAAUAAAACUCCGGUCUCCCACACAGCCGGCUCUGUGUGAAUUACUCUCUCUGUAUUGCACUUCCCUUGUCUUGAUGAAUUGGCUCUGUCUAGGCAGUGAGCAAAGUGAACCCCUUGGGCGGUUACAAAAGGGCAGGAGGUGAGACAGAAAAAUAGGGUCUGGAGGCAGGGAGCAUAAGGCCAACUCACACUUAAGCUAUAACAGGAAAUAUCCUCUCCACAGAGCAUACAGCAGGUGAGUGACUUUGUAACUUUACUUCAUCCUCUUCAUUUACAUAGGGCAUACCCCAAGUCGAGGGUAUCUAAACACUCAAACAUUCUGUAACAGAGCCUUUGAGCCCCUAUGCCCAGACCCGC